UCUUUGGAGGCAGCAGCUCCGCGGACACGUCGGUCGGGAGAUUCUGCCUGGAAACACCGCAAACUAAUCGGAACCGGCGGCCGACAGAGACGGACGGCUCUCACAGGAGGUCGACUAGGUUAGACUUGUUGCGUUGUUGACUUUGAUGAUGGGAGGAGAGCAGAGCCAUGAGAGGAAAGAGAGAGAAGAGGAGACUGAAAAAGAAGUCCAAUCUGACAUCACUGACGUCUCUGGAUCAGAGUCUGCUGCUUCUGAAGACACCGCAGGAGAGCUGCCCCAGUGCCAGAUGGGAAACAGGAAGGUGGACAACAUGUGUUUCAUGAUCUCGUGCACCAACUGGUACUGAGCUGAACUGAGAUCAAGAAAAAGAAGAGGCUGAAGUGAGUUCUGGGACUAAUGUUGCAUUCAUGAGUUCACCAAAAAACAACAAAGGCGCCAUCGAUAAGUCCAACAUGCUUGGGUCGACGUAGGAAAAUCCUGGAGCGUGAAUGAGUGGUUGGAAGAUGAACUUUUUAAAGUUGACUGUGUUACAGAUUCAAUCAUGAAAACAGAAGAAUUCUGCAUACCAAUGAUUCUUUACUGACAGGAAAACAAACUAGUUUGAACUCUUAUACGUUUAGUAUAGCGGGCAAUAUAAAGUGUUGGCCCCUGAUGCAAGACAUGACGUUAAAAGAACAUUGGGAAGUGACGGCAAAGCAACAGAAACAGAAAAUUUAUAAUGAGAAUAUUUGCCUUUAUAAGAAAGCUAUGUGUACUUUAACAGAAACAGAAUAUCAACAAAAGUGCAGAGAAGAACAUACUGGAGAACAGAAAACAUAAUGCAGCAGCUUCAUUAACAUCAAUGAAAGACUAAAUGCAAAAAUAAACCAAAAACAAAUCAAACUAAGUGUAUAAAUUGUUUGUGUGGUUGACUGCAAAAUAAACAUGUGGUGGUGGACAACUAA